rnacentral:rRNA from 3 species
UGUGAGGUUAAGCGACUAAGCGUACACGGUGGAUGCCCUGGCAGUCAGAGGCGAUGAAGGGCGUGCUAAUCUGCGAUAAGCGCCGGUAAGGUGAUAUGAACCGUUAUAACCGGCGAUACCCGAAUGGGGAAACCCAGUGUGAUUCGUCACACUAUCAUUAACUGAAUCCAUAGGUUAAUGAGGCGAACCGGGGGAACUGAAACAUCUAAGUACCCCGAGGAAAAGAAAUCAACCGAGAUUCCCCCAGUAGCGGCGAGCGAACGGGGAGGAGCCCAGAGCCUGAAUCAGCAUGUGUGUUAGUGGAAGCGUCUGGAAAGGCGCGCGAUACAGGGUGACAGCCCCGUACACAAAAGCGCAUGUGCUGUGAGCUCGAUGAGUAGGGCGGGACACGUGGUAUCCUGUCUGAAUAUGGGGGGACCAUCCUCCAAGGCUAAAUACUCCUGACUGACCGAUAGUGAACCAGUACCGUGAGGGAAAGGCGAAAAGAACCCCGGCGAGGGGAGUGAAAAAGAACCUGAAACCGUG